rnacentral:lncRNA from 1 species
UAUGGUAAUACAUGCACACACACACAUCAUGUUUUAACUUUAAUAUCUGAUGAAUUGGGCAUGGAUAUAUAUGAUCUGUUCACAAUGGACUAUAAAACAUAAGAAUACAUUUAUGAACACAAACACUUUACAAACAAACAAACAAAGUGCCUGUCUGUACUGAAGGGUAACAACUGCUUUCAUUUUCAAUUUGAACGUCAAUCAUUAAUAUGGAGUUAUAUCCCAUUGUCCAAUA